AUUUGUUGCAUCGUUGUCAGCACGAGUCCUGAGAUAUUUAAGGAGAUUUAAGGAAAUAAAUUUGUGUGCUUUAAUAUUUAUUUCGUGAUUUGAGCGUUUUAGGCUGAAUUUAGUUGAAUAUAUAUUUAAAUAUGAUUCGUCAGUGUGAAAUUUGUAAGAAAAGUAAGAUUUCCCAUCCGGAUUUAUCUUUUCAUAAAUUUCCAUCUGAUACCGAAAAGAGAGGAAUUUGGGCUUCGCUCCUUGGAUUUGAAAGCGUUAAUUUCACUAAGAAGUUGGUAUUUAUUUGUUCGAACCAUUUCAAUCCAGACGAUAUUGAAAUAAGGCCAAAUGGAAAAUUCCUCAAGCCAGAUGUUGUCCCAUUACCUUAUCAUACAACAUUCGAGAUUUCAAAUGAAAGUUCAGACACAGUAUCCGAACAAGAAGAUAGUCGUAUCAGCCCAACUACAGAGACAAUGUGAGUUCUUGAGACUGCCUCAUAGUUUGAAAACGAACUUUACAAAUUAACUUUUGUUGAAUCACCAUACCAAGAUAGAGGAGAAAGAGGUGCUAUUUUAGCGAUAUGUCAAGCAGUGAUUUCUUGACACCAGAGAAGUGACUCAGAUACUUUACCAGAACCAAUAAAAGUAUUAGAUUUUAUGUAAGUCUGCAUUAAUGGUUCAUGGAAGAUGCCUGUUGGAUACUUCUUAUUGAAUGGAUUAUCUGCAGUGGAAAAAUUAAAAUUAUUGAAAAAAAUGCCUUGAAUUCAUCAAUGAGAGUGGAAUCACAGUUACAUCAAUUACAUUCGAUGGCACUGUAACAAAUUUUUCAAUGGCAGAGAAGUUGGGCGCAGAUUACAGUAAUCAUUCUGAUCUGAAAACUAGCUUCAUAGAUCCCAUCACAAAAAAUGAGAUUUUCGUUUUUUAGAUACCUGUCAUAUAAUCAAACUUGUUCGGAAUUGUUUUGCUUUACAAAUUUGUCUGGAGGAUGGUAGUCAGUGAAAGAUCCAGUGUAAUUUUGUGGAGAGAUUAGUAGACGUCCUCAAUAGAGAGCCUUUAUUUUUGAAUUUGGUGACUUGGUAUAUGUUGAAAAUAGUAACAAAAUCAAUAGGAAAACAUUAGAAGAACUCAGAAUCGGUCCUGUCCGGAUUUUAAAGAAAAUUUCUUAUUCAAUUUUUGAAAUAGAAUAUGGUCACAAGAAAAAAGAAUCAAAAAUUUUUUAUAUAUUAAGUAAGUUGGGUACAUAUGUUCCAUUAUGAUGCAUUGAUUAUUCAAAUAUCAUUUCAAAAGUAUUGUAAGAAGUUUUUAGUUUGUUCAUUUUUGAUUGGCUAUCUAUUCUUGAUUCUGGUUAUAGGUUAGUGUAAUGUUAUGAUUUUGUAUUCAUUGAAUGAAAACUUGUUAUGCUGAAACAUUAAUCGAGAAAAGUCAAUAGAACAAAACAAUAUCAGAAUUAUAUGUAGGUAUAUUAAAAUUUAACUCUGUUUUAGUU